CAGUAGCCGCGGGAAUACGUAGGUGGCAAGCGUUAUCCGGAAUUAUUGGGCGUAAAGCGCGCGCAGGUGGUUUCUUAAGUCUGAUGUGAAAGCCCACGGCUCAACCGUGGAGGGUCAUUGGAAACUGGGAGACUUGAGUGCAGAAGAGGAAAGUGGAAUUCCAUGUGUAGCGGUGAAAUGCGUAGAGAUAUGGAGGAACACCAGUGGCGAAGGCGACUUUCUGGUCUGUAACUGACACUGAGGCGCGAAAGCGUGGGGAGCAAACAGGAUUAGAUACCCCGGUAGUCCCUGUCUCUUAUAC
rnacentral:rRNA from 1 species